GACGGGACCGCACAAGCGGUGGAUGAUGUGGUUAAUUCGAUGCAACGCGAAAACCUUACCCACCUUGACAUGGCAGGAAUCCCGAAGAGAUUGGGAGUGCUCGAAAGAGAACCUGCACACAGGUGCUGCAUGGCUGUCGUCAGCUCGUGUCGUGAGAUGUUGGGUUAAGUCCCGCAACGAGCGCAACCCUUGCCAUUAGUUGCUACGAAAGGGCACUCUAAUGGGACUGCCGGUGACAAACCGGAGGAAGGUGGGGAUGACGUCAAGUCCUCAUGGCCCUUAUAGGUGGGGCUACACACGUCAUACAAUGGCCGGUACAGAGGGUAGCCAACCCGCGAGGGGGAGCCAAUCCCACAAAGCCGGUCGUAGUCCGGAUCGCAGUCUGCAACUCGACUGCGUGAAGUCGGAAUCGCUAGUAAUCGCGGAUCAGCAUGUCGCGGUGAAUACGUUCCCGGGCCUU
rnacentral:rRNA from 1 species